GAGUUUGAUCCUGGCUCAGGACGAACGCUGGCGGCGUGCCUAACACAUGCAAGUCGAGCAAGGAAGCCCCUUCGGGGGUGGAAUAGCGGCGGACGGGUGAGUAACACGUGGGUAACCUGCCUCAAAGAGGGGGAUAGCCUCCCGAAAGGGAGAUUAAUACCGCAUAGAAGGUAAAAAUCGCAUGAUAAAUACCUUAAAGGAGCAAUCCGCUUUGAGAUGGGCCCGCGUCGCAUUAGCUAGUUGGAGGGAUAAAAGCCCCCCAAGGCGACGAUGCGUAGCCGACCUGAGAGGGUGAACGGCCACAUUGGAACUGAGAUACGGUCCAGACUCCUACGGGAGGCAGCAGUGGGGAAUAUUGCACAAUGGGGGAAACCCUGAUGCAGCAACGCCGCGUGAGUGAAGAAGGUUUUCGGAUCGUAAAGCUCUGUCAUCCGGGACGAUAAUGACGGUACCGGAAGAGGAAGCCACGGCUAACUACGUGCCAGCAGCCGCGGUAAUAC
rnacentral:rRNA from 1 species